AGUGGAUCUGUUUGUCAUGUCAGCAGAUUAGUGCCUACAAAAGACCAGCAGCCCUGGCAGACAUUUAGCAUCUCCCAAGACCUUGGAGCUGAGUUGUGCCAAUGCUCAUUUGUCCUCUUUUUCCCACAUUGGAAAAGCUGUCUCAAGCCCCAUUCUGCUGCAAUCCUGCUGGCCUGGGAGCUAGAAAGGCAGUGAGCAAGCCCUGCUCCUGCUGAGCUGGGUGUUGCUGGAGGCUGUUUUACUGCAGAAUAAACUGGUUCUGUGUGUACCAGUGAUACCUGGGCCAUAACAAAUUGCAGAAACCGUCAGAAAUUCAGCAAAUCCCUCUAAUGCCAGCUUGGAAGCCUUGAAACAUCUUUCACUGUCUGAUAACCAGACACAAAACCAGCCUUGUUUUCCUUUUUUGCAGUCUUAAGGUGGCUGGUUGUAGCAAGACAGCCGGUCACCAAGACAACGACACCUUACCCAGGGAGAAGCAGGACAGGCCUGCCUGCCAGCUGGGGCUGCUCCUGCUCUCAAACAGUUUCAUAUCCUGAAAUCAGAUUGUUAAAAGUGUCUUUUAAGCUCCUAUGGAUACUGUGAAUUGCUGCAUUAGCAUGAGAUCUGCAGAACAUGUCUUGGGAGCUUUGGGAGAAGUAAACCCCGAGAAAAGACUUCAUAGCUGCAUGUUUACGAUGGCUGUACAGAGUGAAAGUGACAUAUGAAGAAACAUAUAGCCUUUGUUCUCCAAUGAGAAAAUUGGAUCAAGACAAAAAUGACCUAUAUAAACAUUGGAAGAUCAUAGAAAAGUAUUCCUUCUAGGCAGAGAAGGAAUAUAUACAUGGAAGUAAGUGAUGGGUAUUGUUCUUAGGGGAAUUUCAAUGCAUCAAAGGAGCCUGGUAUCAGCCCUGGGAUAACAUCAGAGGAAAUGUUGUCUGAGGAGAAGCAGAAGGGCUGAAAGAAGUUUAUCUGGGCAGAGGAAGUUACAAUGGACUCUCCAGUUUUAAAUACUGAGGUGGUUUCUGGCUUUUCCAGGUAUUGCACACUGGGGUCAAGAAAGAACAACUUCUCCCAGCUCAGAGGCUUGUGAGUAAUGGAGAGGUGGACAAGUAGAGUUUGUGGUGGGUCCAGGAAACAACAAUAACUUAUUGGAUCAGUUUAUAUAAUAAAUAUUAUCAUUUAUGGGCUCA
rnacentral:lncRNA from 1 species